GAAAAAGAACCUGAAACCGUGUACGUACAAGCAGUGGGAGCACGCUUAGGCGUGUGACUGCGUACCUUUUGUAUAAUGGGUCAGCGACUUAUAUUCUGUAGCAAGGUUAACCGAAUAGGGGAGCCGAAGGGAAACCGAGUCUUAACUGGGCGUUAAGUUGCAGGGUAUAGACCCGAAACCCGGUGAUCUAGCCAUGGGCAGGUUGAAGGUUGGGUAACACUAACUGGAGGACCGAACCGACUAAUGUUGAAAAAUUAGCGGAUGACUUGUGGCUGGGGGUGAAAGGCCAAUCAAACCGGGAGAUAGCUGGUUCUCCCCGAAAGCUAUUUAGGUAGCGCCUCGUGAAUUCAUCUCCGGGGGUAGAGCACUGUUUCGGCAAGGGGGUCAUCCCGACUUACCAACCCGAUGCAAACUGCGAAUACCGGAGAAUGUUAUCACGGGAGACACACGGCGGGUGCUAACGUCCGUCGUGAAGAGGGAAACAACCCAGACCGCCAGCUAAGGUCCCAAAGUCAUGGUUAAGUGGGAAACGAUGUGGGAAGGCCCAGACAGCCAGGAUGUUGGCUUAGAAGCAGCCAUCAUUUAAAGAAAGCGUAAUAGCUCACUGGUCGAGUCGGCCUGCGCGGAAGAUGUAACGGGGCUAAACCAUGCACCGAAGCUGCGGCAGCGACGCUUAUGCGUUGUUGGGUAGGGGAGCGUUCUGUAAGCCUGUGAAGGUGUGCUGUGAGGCAUGCUGGAGGUAUCAGAAGUGCGAAUGCUGACAUAAGUAACGAUAAAGCGGGUGAAAAGCCCGCUCGCCGGAAGACCAAGGGUUCCUGUCCAACGUUAAUCGGGGCAGGGUGAGUCGACCCCUAAGGCGAGGCCGAAAGGCGUAGUCGAUGGGAAACAGGUUAAUAUUCCUGUACUUGGUGUUACUGCGAAGGGGGGACGGAGAAGGCUAUGUUGGCCGGGCGACGGUUGUCCCGGUUUAAGCGUGUAGGCUGGUUUUCCAGGCAAAUCCGGAAAAUCAAGGCUGAGGCGUGAUGACGAGGCACUACGGUGCUGAAGCAACAAAUGCCCUGCUUCCAGGAAAAGCCUCUAAGCAUCAGGUAACAUCAAAUCGUACCCCAAACCGACACAGGUGGUCAGGUAGAGAAUACCAAGGCGCUUGAGAGAACUCGGGUGAAGGAACUAGGCAAAAUGGUGCCGUAACUUCGGGAGAAGGCACGCUGAUAUGUAGGUGAAGUCCCUCGCGGAUGGAGCUGAAAUCAGUCGAAGAUACCAGCUGGCUGCAACUGUUUAUUAAAAACACAGCACUGUGCAAACACGAAAGUGGACGUAUACGGUGUGACGCCUGCCCGGUGCCGGAAGGUUAAUUGAUGGGGUCAGCGCAAGCGAAGCUCUUGAUCGAAGCCCCGGUAAACGGCGGCCGUAACUAUAACGGUCCUAAGGUAGCGAAAUUCCUUGUCGGGUAAGUUCCGACCUGCACGAAUGGCGUAAUGAUGGCCAGGCUGUCUCCACCCGAGACUCAGUGAAAUUGAACUCGCUGUGAAGAUGCAGUGUACCCGCGGCAAGACGGAAAGACCCCGUGAACCUUUACUAUAGCUUGACACUGAACAUUGAGCCUUGAUGUGUAGGAUAGGUGGGAGGCUUAGAAGUGUGGACGCCAGUCUGCAUGGAGCCGACCUUGAAAUACCACCCUUUAAUGUUUGAUGUUCUAACGUUGACCCGUAAUCCGGGUUGCGGACAGUGUCUGGUGGGUAGUUUGACUGGGGCGGUCUCCUCCUAAAGAGUAACGGAGGAGCACGAAGGUUGGCUAAUCCUGGUCGGACAUCAGGAGGUUAGUGCAAUGGCAUAAGCCAGCUUGACUGCGAGCGUGACGGCGCGAGCAGGUGCGAAAGCAGGUCAUAGUGAUCCGGUGGUUCUGAAUGGAAGGGCCAUCGCUCAACGGAUAAAAGGUACUCCGGGGAUAACAGGCUGAUACCGCCCAAGAGUUCAUAUCGACGGCGGUGUUUGGCACCUCGAUGUCGGCUCAUCACAUCCUGGGGCUGAAGUAGGUCCCAAGGGUAUGGCUGUUCGCCAUUUAAAGUGGUACGCGAGCUGGGUUUAGAACGUCGUGAGACAGUUCGGUCCCUAUCUGCCGUGGGCGCUGGAGAACUGAGGGGGGCUGCUCCUAGUACGAGAGGACCGGAGUGGACGCAUCACUGGUGUUCGGGUUGUCAUGCCAAUGGCACUGCCCGGUAGCUAAAUGCGGAAGAGAUAAGUGCUGAAAGCAUCUAAGCACGAAACUUGCC
rnacentral:rRNA from 1 species